AUUGAACGCUGGCGGCAGGCCUAACACAUGCAAGUCGAACGAGUGGCGGACGGGUGAGUAAUGUCUGGGAAACUGCCUGAUGGAGGGGGAUAACUACUGGAAACGGUAGCUAAUACCGCAUACCAUCAGAUGUGCCCAGAUGGGAUUAGCUUGUUGGUGGGGUAACGGCUCACCAAGGCGACGAUCCCUAGCUGGUCUGAGAGGAUGACCAGCCACACUGGAACUGAGACACGGUCCAGACGCCUACGGGAGGCAGCAGUGGGGAAUAUUGGACAAUGGACGAAAGCCUGAUCGAGCCAUGCCGCGUGUAUGAAGAAGGUCUUCGGGUUGUAAAGUACUUUCAGCGGGGAGGCGUUAUCCGCCGAGAAAGCACCGGCUAACUCCGUGCCAGCAGCCGCGGUAAUUC
rnacentral:rRNA from 1 species